AUACGUAGGUGGCAAGCGUUGUCCGGACUUAUUGGGCGUAAAGCGGGCGCAGGCGGUUUUUUAAGUCUGAUGUGAAAGCCUUCGGCUCAACCGAAGAAGUGCAUCGGAAACUGGGAGACUUGAGUGCAGAAGAGGACAGUGGAACUCCAUGUGUAGCGGUGAAAUGCGUAGAUAUAUGGAAGAACACCAGUGGCGAAGGCGGCUGUCUGGUCUGUAACUGACGCUGAGGCUCGAAGGUAUGGGUAGC
rnacentral:rRNA from 1 species